UGCUGAUGCUUUUUUGUCUUGAAAGCUCUUUGACAAGAUUAAAAACAUGCAUUUGAUUUGUAUUCCUGUUACAUUUGGAAAGUGUGAUAACAUGAAAACUUAAAUACACAGCAUCUUCGAACACAAGGCUUUGUCAUGUGCUUGUCAGGAUUUUAGCCUUUAAUGUUGACAGAAAAUGCUGAAACUAAGUUUUGUAUUGCCUGGAGAAAUGUGGAGAAAGAUGGCAGAAAAGUGCUGAGAAGAUGUAUGAAAAAUUAUUUUCAUCACAAAGCAAUGUUUUUCUUAAUGAGAAAGUCUGCAGAGGAAAAAGCAAGGCCACAUACCUUCUGCAGGUUUGCUCUGCAAAAUGGAGGCUCUACCUUUUAAUGUGAUUUGAGUUUCCCAGGAAAAAUAGUAGUCCCUUGAUCUGAAACUGAACAGUAAGUAAUAAAUGCAAAGGUAACUGCUUUGGUGUUUUCAUUCUGUUUGUUCUGGUGUACUUUAUAGUAUCUGUGUGUCUCGCUCAUCUGUCCAGCUAAUCUAAUGCCUACUGAUGAUUUCCAUAGUUUAAUUAAAUUUUUAGAGAAAAAUUUUUGUGAUGUGUUGUAUAUGAACAGUUCAUCAAAUGGGAUGUGAACUGAAAUCAGUAUUCCGCUUUCACAUUUAAUACGCAGUUCUUUCACAUGAGAUUGAACUCAGCAUGGGAGUUGUAGUUGUUGACUUUUGGCUCUGGACAGGUUAAUCAGGCCCCAUGGUCUGAAUGUUGUCUGUCAAGGAUUCUGCAACUUCUCAUGAUUUGCUUUCAUUGGUUCCACUCUUACUUUUCCUGUUCAGUACCGAAAUAUAGCAAACUGUACUGUGUUGCUGAUAAAAUGAUAUCAUGCCUUUAAGCAGCGAAAUGAAACUUACACACAGAGGCUCGUCAUGAACUGGAUAGUUGUCAUAUUUUUAGACCUAAGUUGAUGUUCAGCAGCACAGAACCAAUACACAUUGUGCUUAUGAAGUCAAGAGUUUGUUUAGAAUUCCAGUUCUCUUCUUUUUUCAGUUGUUUUCAUCCUGAAAUUUGAGGAAUUUUCUCAUCAUCUUGGGUGGCUUAUAUUAAGCCUUAAAUUUUGUAUUAGAAACAUUAAGUUCAUAGGAGAUGAAUUUCUUGACAGAUCUUUAUAACCAGUCUACCACUGACCAGUCUCAAUGAUCCUGAAGACUUAAAUUAUUCAUGUCAUCAGUUGGAAAAUAGUCAGAGUUGGUUUGCUACUUAUACCUGAUUUCUUGUAGUAGUACAUGGGAGCCUCAGGCACAGGCCAAGAACAUUUUGUUGCAGGUAUUAUACAACCAAUGGAAGAAAAAUACAGCCCUCAUUUAAAAGAACAUACUAUCUGAGUAAGUGGUUAUCAUAACAGUAAGGAAGUACUGCUCCCUUCAGAAGACUGCAGAGGAUGAGGUUUAAAAUUGACUGCCACCUGAUAAUUGGAUGAUAAACAGUAAAUUCUGCCAUCUGUAUUCUGUCACAGAAAAUGAGCAGGAAAUAUUUAUGAGACAUCCAAGUUUGUUAACUUUAAUUCUUCUUUUAGGUCCUUUCAUAUCUCAUUUCAUGAAUUAUUAGCCUCCUCAUAUUCUCUGUUUGGCUUUUUGACAUUUGUUUUUAGUAAGUGUUACAGUUCAGUUGUGAAAAUCGUUUUGCUGUUUAAAAUGAUUGUUCUGCUGACUCCCUAUCUGAUGCUGCUUUUCACCUAAGGAACCAAGAAUAAAUUUUAGGUUCACUGUGACUGCGACUUUAAACAUGUGUAACUACUAGUCUUUUGCUAACAGAAGAAUAACAAAUUUUAGAUUUAGAAGGUGGAGCUUAUCAGUGUUAGAGCAGAAAUAUGAAAUGCUGGCUCUGAGGAUUAUGGAAUGGGAAUGUAAAGAUACCUUUUGGGCGGGGGGGCAGGUUCAGACCAAACUUGAUUCAGAACAUAUAAGACUUUCUGAGAUGCUUCAUAUGAAAGAUUUCAUUCACUUCUGCAUUUUGUAGAACAUAUGAGAAGCUGUUCAGGUUUCAUGGAAUACUUUGAAACAUUUUUUGAAUAUAAACAUUUAUCUUCCUGAAUCUUUCUGUGGCAGAGAAGAUUUUUAAGUGAGGCUUGAUGCAUCUUUCUUUUCAAUGUAAUAAGCUAGGAGUAAUAAGUAUGUUGUAGUGAAAUCAGUCCUUUAAAAUCAGUAGCUGCAGGUUCCCAAACUUUUUUCCUCUGUCUUACUGCCAUUGGUAUGUCCCAGCAUGUGAGGCCAGGUAGGCUCUGGGUCCUAGUUCUAUGAGAUGUUAUCUUAAUCAGCUCCUAACUAGGCUCCAGUAACCAAAUAUGAUAUUACAACUGUUAAAUCAAGCAUGAAGUAUAGAAUUAGUAUGCAAACUUAAAUGCAGAUAUUUCUACUUUUUUUUUUUUUUUUAAAGUGACUGAUAGUGCUUUGUGAUCCUUGUUCCAAGCUAUCUUGAAAUGCUUAAAAACAUGACUGCUAUCACAAGAAUUUUUCCAUUCCUCCCUUGCCAGGUGAUUGAGUAUGUGUGUUUGCUUAUAUGUGUUUGUGUAAAUAGAUAAAAAGGAUAGGAGAGAUUGAGGAUCACUGUAGAACAGUGUUUCAGUGUAUUCUAGCAGUCAUUUAAUGCUAAAAACGGAUUUAGUUACUGGCUUUAUGAAUUGUGUGGAGUACUUAAUGUGUCCGUAUGGACUUCAUAAAAUGUUAUUAGCAGCUUCUAGAAUUAAAAUUAACUAGGAUUUAUAGCCUACAAGGAAAUAUACUAAUUUGUGUUCAGAGUGAAAGUGACUCUUCAUGGACAGGAAAGGUCAAAGUUCGUAUUUUUUCAUAAUCUUUACGAGCAUCAUAAUGGUACUCUUUAAAUAUAACUAACAUGUAUUAAAAAAAACCUGAGGAAUCAAUAUACUAAAUAGCUCAUACUAUGGAACGGCAAAUUACUGAGAGUAAAAUAUCAAUUACUUAGCUAAAAGAGCUUUUCAAGAUAGUCUUCCUUUGCCAGGAUGUCAGAUUUAACAAGCUGAACUAAAUCCAGUGCAUUAAUCAGCUCUUCCAAUUUAUUACUUGCCUAAGAAGAUUAGGGCAAUUAAUGUGUUUAAUUAGAGUCCCUUGCAGAUCUGGUAAAAUACAUGCAGUCUGUAAUUGCUGACUUCUUAGUCAAUUUUAAUUUUGUGUAGUCUUAAUUACUUUAUAGUUUUUGAAAAUUUAAUUAUUUGUUGAAACUGGCAGAGUUUAGCUUUAUGAUGUUGAAAAAACAUCAAAGUACUUCAGGUAAUAUUUGCAGAAACUAAAAUAGUAGGGAUGAAGUAUCACAAUAGCUUUUACCGUUUUUGUGGUGUGACUUACUUUUGAGCUUCUGUGAGAAAGGAAGAACAGCUGGGAGAAAAUGGGGAAAAGACCACAUAUUAAUUAUCAAGAAAGUGAAUGGAAUAUUUGAAGGGAAUCCGGAUCAUGGAAGGGAUAUUGCCAUAUCAUAACCAGCUGCAAGAUAGUACUGUGUAGAAAUUACAGGCAAAAUAUUCUGUAAACUGUUCACUUCUACUGUAUUUAUACAUAUGUGCUAUUGAUUGGAGUACUUAAAUUUUUGUGUGAAAAGGAGAAGGGAGUAGGUUUUUGUGGACGCUUGAGAUUUUAUUUUUCUAUACGCUAUUUAAUAAUGUUGUAAUUUUUGUAAUCCUUGAUAUGUGCUUUUUAACAUUAAAAUUGAGAAAUGACUGAGGAUUGGUAAUAGAAGGCCCGAUUGUGUUGUAUGAUUGGUUUUGGACUUUAUCAUCCUUCUGAAUCUGUAAAAAGAAGUUGUUUUCUCUGAAAAGUUUGGGUAUCCUCUGUCUUAAAUAUUCCUGUGAGCAGGAGAUUCUAAAAAUCACCCGCAACAAGAACAAUACCUGUACAGCUGUCUGCCUAUUCCAUGUUAUCUUUCCUGUCCUGGCCUCCAAGCUUCUUUGUUUGUCUUACCCACUUUUUGUAGGUAAGUGUCUUGCCCCCUUAAUUUUGUCUCUUAGAAGGUAAGUGCUUCUAGAAAAUUAUCCUCUUUUGGUUGUUGGUAUAUCUCUUUGGACUGUGGGGCUCCAGGCUAUUCAGUGUUAUAAGACUGCCUCUUAAUAAUAAAUGGUCACAGCAGGAAAAUGUAGUGGGGGAUCUGCAACGUGAGUUUGUUGGUUUGUUUUUUAGAUACACCAUGUUAUUUGUUCUAAAUGGCUGAAUGUGCCUUCUGUCUGUUGCUGCUUCCUGGUCAUUUGGAGGAGUGUGUGUGUGUGUGUGUGUGUGUGUGUGUGUGUACACGUACAUGUAUGCACACGGUGGGGAAAGGGGAAGAGAAGAAAGGAGGAUGGGUUCAAUGGCGUAGGCUAUCUUAGAUCACUGAGGCAUGUAUGUGGUAAAUUCUUUCUUGUUCUUUUUGCUUGGGGAGUCAUGACAAAUUAAUGAAAGUUCAAACUUUUGCACAGUUGAGCAGUUAGUUUGAAAAAUGUUACAAUAUUUUUCUUUUUUAAUCCCUGUAGUCUAUUUAGCACAUGAAGGAUGUAAGAAGUCACUGUAUCAACACAGAGAUGUGGGCAUGGAGGCGAAUGGUAACAAUAAAUAAAAUGCACAAAGCAUUAGGUAACCAAGUGAUGUAAAAUUCUAUUUGUAUGGUAUUAGUGUUAACUGGCAUUUUAGUUGUGACCCAGUAGACUUGCUGGAAAAAUCUUAAUGGUUUUUGUGAGAUUUUAACAAAAUAAGACAUAGAAGUCCAGAAAGUUGAGCUUCACUUUUAAGAGCAAUCCAAGACGCUUACACACUUGUUAGGUCUGAAAUGUUAGCCAUUUAAUAAUCUAAAUGUUGAAAUGUUACUGUGGAUUUAUAUUUUGCAGGAAUUAAUGUAAGUUAUCAGUCACUCAAAUAAUCUCAUCUUCUAUUUUGAGAGUUGUUUUGUGUUUUUUUUGUUUGUUUUUUGCUAUGGAGUGUUACAUGAAAACAUAACUGAAUGAAAGGCUCCACAGUCUGUGGAGAUAUACUCAGUCAUGUUGCUUUUGCCAUUCUGUUUCUUUCAUCUUGGGGUAUCUCUGUAGUCAGAGGUAUUACAAAAUCAUUGUUUAUUCUUGUACAGAAUUUGUUCGUACAGUGAACUCUGUUCAGUCCACUGUCUGUACUCUGACAGUGUAGGUGGUUGUCGGCCCACUAGUUUGACUUUUUCGUGUUUGUAUUAUUUUUUCAUUCUGUCAUGUGUUUGCUUUCUAUAACUUCUAUUAUGAUGUUUUUGACUGCAGUCAGUGAUACAGAUUGGUCUUGAUUUCUGCUCUCCAAACUACCCCUUUUACCUUAAAGUGUUCCACUUGAUAUCUGAUGUUAGUGUUAGAGUUGCUGCUUGUGCUGUUUUUCAUCAUCUGAUAUCUGCCUCAAUUUACUUCAGGUGCUGUUAGUGCACAGACUAAUGCCAUUGCUACCCUACUACAAUACAUUUGCAUGCUAAUGAAAUAAUGGACUGACUACUUUUGUUAUCUGUUUCUGUGAAGCAGUUGCAGACUUACAUUUAUCAAAACAAAUUUCUGCUUCUGAAAAACAUCUUUUUUUUGAAUAUAAGAAAAUGAAGUGAUGCACAGGCAGAGUGACCCAGUAAUUCUGAUAUGUUAAAGUGAACAGAAUGUAAUCUGAAUUGGCAUUUAUCUAAUUGCUGACUGUAUGGUAAGAAAAAAAAAUUACUAUUGUGCUGAAUUUAGUGCUUCAAGACCCGCCUGAGAUGGCAUGCUGAAAGCAAGCUGUUUGCUUCUUUAUAACCUGUUUUCCCUUUUUGUGGUGGGCCACUGUACUGAGGUGGGAGGGAGAAGAUUUUAUGUGGAUUGGCAGAAGAAUCAGGGAUAGUAAUGGGAACACAGGGUGCCUUUAACACUCAAUAAACCUUGCAGUCAGCUGAUGUCGAAAGCAUUUUAGAAAUACAAUGACCUUCCCUGGUUACUAUUCAGUUUACAAGAAGAAAUGCUGAGGUAGGUUCUUCUGUGAUAUGCUGACUCUUUCUGACAGCUUGCUAAAAUAGAGAACAAAGAAGGCUCAAGAUGCAUUUAAAAAAAAAAAAGCAAAUUCUAUUCUGAAGUAUUUUAUAGCAAUGAAGGGUGCAGGUGGACAGUAUUGUAGACUGGAGCCAUUUAUCUAUGAAAAGGGAGUAGCUAGACACUUAGUACUGAGAUGUUUCUCAGCCUUCCUUGCCAAUAUCACGUCUGCUUUUAGCUUACAAUAAACAUGUCCACAGGUGAUGCCUUUCUACCUCUUCUGACCUUGCUGAGCAUGCCAAAAAGAUUGCAGAUUUUUACUAAGCUGCAAGUGCCCAGAUUACCUUUUUGCCAAAGGCUGUACAAGCAAGGAACAUAGUGACGUGCUGGUGUGAUUAGAAUUCGCAUAGUCUUAUGCGGGUGUUACAGGUAAUAAGUGUCAUAAAGGGAAAUUCUUCAAAAAAAUAGUUGUUAUGAAACAUUCUUCAUAAACAGUAUCUAAAUGGAACUGUUAUUCCAUAUGAAAAUGAAUUUUAUUCUAGAACAACUAAGGUAUUCAAAGCAAAGAUGUUAUUCUGAAUUAGAACUAUUUUUGUUCAGGAAUGCGUUUCUAUGCUUAGUUGUUCUGCAAUACAUAUUAUAGAAUACCUUACUCUGCUGGGUUUCUGUCAAAUUUUCCAUGUAGGAAGCACUGUGUAUUAACUUGGAACAAAUUAAAAUGGUUAACCUAAUCUGUAAUACAUAGUACUUAAUUAUCAAGUGCACAUCAAUAUUAAAACUUUUUUCUUUAAAUAUUGGCACAUGCCUCAUCCUAUUUUGUAUGAGUGGCUAGCAGUGAAGCUGCUAAAUCUGGCUUGGUUUAAGAAAAAAAUCGCCAAUAAGUAGUUCAAGAGUAUGAAAACAAGCUGUCUAAAUAUUGUUGCUUUCAAAGCUGCCUACUUCAAAUCUUUGCUGAAUCAAUCAGUAUUAUCGAUAUUGGCAAAAUACAUCAACUAUGAAACUUCCAUAUAGAUAAGCCUGUAUAGACUAAACCUGCGUCUUUUGCUCUGCUGCAGGUUGGUGUCGUAGUUUACUUCUAAGUGUUCGCACUGAUAGAAGUAGGUUAUGUUAAGGGAAACUUUCUCUGUAAGCUUGCAAAUUGUUUUUCAUUCCCUCCACUAGCUUUUAGGAAAAUAAACGGAUGAAGAUUGCUACUCAAAACUGAAAUAAACUGUUUCCUUAGAGACAUACAAGGUUUUUCUGAUAAUAGUGAUAAACUAGCAUCAUAUAUUAUGAUAUGAUAUACUUAAUGGUAUUAUAAUGAUGAUAAUACAAGCAGUGGUAUUCAGUUUCCCUAAAGAUUUUAGGAACAACUUAGAGUACAAAACCUAAUUCAAGUACUACCUGCACUCCUGUCUGCCUGCUACUGCGUUAUGGCUAGGAAGAAUUGGGUUUGUGAUUCCAAUAUUUGGUAUCUCGCAUUGCAAAGAACUGAAGGGAAUCAUUACCCUUCUGAUUGUUUUUAACCCUGAUUAAAUUUGUUGAAGCUAAAUAAUGAUCAUGAUUUCUGCCAUAUAAAUACAUUAAGUGAUUACUGUUCAUUAGCAGGCAAGAUGUUGGAACUAGCAACUGUGAAACUCAACAUGGAGUUUGUCUGUUAUGCAGAUUCUUGUCUAGCAAAUGCUGCUGAAGCCUCUGAGUUUAGUUGAGUAACAGGGCUUGGUGGUAUGUGUAAGUGGUGUGGUUUUUUUCCUUUUUUUUUUUUUUUUUUUUCUUUGAUACAGAGAAUAUGUCCAUAUGGUAGAUACCAAGCUGUGGAAGAUCAAAAGUUGAUCUUCCAUUUAGCAUAUAAAUAGCAAGAGUUAAGCAAAAUUGGAUGAAUAGCUGUGAUAAGCAUAUGGCAUAUGUUCAAAUCUGUUAUCCCAUUCUUGAGAGUUUGUUCCUUUCUAGUGUCACAGGACAAUAGAAUGAAUCAGUGAAAUGCUCUCAGCAUUAGAUAAUUUUUUUGUUUUCUUAAAUGUUUAAGACCAUAUCAUAAGUACUAACUUUACAGAUGUUAAUGGAGUUGUCUUGUGAUUUUAUGCAGGCUUACAAUAUGUGUUUAAUACUUGAUGAUUUUUGUUUUUUAGUAGUCCUGAAAACAUCCUAACAUUUACAUUAGUUUUCUUUAAGUUUCUAAGGUUAUUAGGUACUAGGACUUAAUAUUUAUGUCAUUGAGCAGGAACUAGUAAUUAGUGGCAGAGGAACUAGUAAUUAGUGGCAGUGGGACAUUAAUUAUCGCUCAUAAUUUCAGCAGAGUAUUUCUUGUUUUGCAAAAAAUCAACUUCUUGAAGUCAGAUUUCCUCUUUUCCAAAUUUUUCUUAAUAUCUCCCAGCCAAAUUAUUGGUGCUAAUAAUGUGAAUAUAGACUGGAAGAUGUGCCAACGGGUCAGCAUCUUGCAGAUCUGGAAGACUUUUUGGAAAAGUCUGUCUGGCCUUGUCUUGUUUGUGUGGUGCACUCACCUUGGAGUAGAGAAAGGUGGCACGUAGCGUAUGGUGGUUGCCAUUAGAGUGCAGUCACAUAACAUAUACUAUGCUCAGGCUUUAUGUACCUUCAUCAAUGAUCCAGCUACCUGAUUUUUGAAUGUAGAGAUUCAUAGUGCUACAGCUUAGCAGGUUGCUCUAAGUUUGCACAAUCCUAUGUAUUCUGUUGCUUUUUUUCAUAUUCUAUAUCUAUGAAUCCUUUUUCCUGUGAUUAACUCACUCUUAUGCUGAUGUGUUGCUUCUGGCCAAAGCAAAGAUCCUGCUGCCUAUAUACUUGAGGAUUUAGACUUCUUCCUUUUUAAGGAAGCAAGUCGUAAUCCUUUUUGUCAGCCACUGUAAAAUGUUAUCUGGUCUUUCGUUGGUUGUUUUGGGACUAGAGAAAACUGAGAAAGUGAUGUACGGUAAAGGGUAGCAUGGGAAUAGCACGUUACUGGGACUGUGAGGAAAGCGUGCACUAAAGUGAUGCUCUUUUUUUUUGUGGUGCAUGACUUGCCCAUUGCCUGAAAUGAGUCAGGAGAAUAGCCACAUGCUCCUGAGCCUGACAUAUGGGAAAGCUCACGAGAGAGAGCAUCAUUUUUGGAGAUGAGCAGGGAUUUUUGCCCUGGCAUUGGAGCAAAACAGCCAGAAAAACAGCCAGAUCAGAUAACUGUCUUGAAACAGAUUGCUUUUUCUGUAAUACCACGCUCUUUCUUUAGGCUUGUCAUUCAUGCUCUAAGUUUUCAUCAAAAUCAUGUCAAUCACUGGGGCUCCAUCUAGAGUCAAGGACUGGUGAUUUUUUUUCCCCUCAUAGAAUAUAGCAAUUUUUUGCAGCUUACUGCUCUUUUUAGAAAUUGUCUCUAGCAAUAACUGUCUUUGAAGAUAGGACGAAUGAACUUCAAAAGAAAUUGGUCAUCUGGAAAUAAAUACAUCAAAGGCUUUGAGGUUGUAGUUGAUAUGAAUAACAACUUUUUAGACUUUUUUUAAACCAUAAUUCAAUCAAAUGAUAAAUCUCUACCAAGCAUAUGCUUUAGCUCUUCUAAUACAGAUGCAUUUGCUCAAUGGCGUAUUUAGACAGAAUUCAUGCUAAUCCAUUAAAUUCUUCCUUAUGCUUUCAGUGCUGCAAAGGAUGCUGCAUUUAUUGCAGUGAAUGAGGCUCGUUACAGAAAUGAAAUGAUGGUUGAAAAUACCUCCACCCUUAGAAUUUUAGGGGAAAAUAUUAACACUGUCUUCUGAGGGCAGUACUUAAGUGUGUAAAAUUUGAUUGGGAUCAAAUGGAAAUAUUUAAUUUUAUGUGACCAUGUAUGUUCUCAAACUUUCUGGAAAGGUGCUUGAGGUCAUUGUAGGAACAGAGUCUCUCAAACUGGUGUUCUGAAGAAUGAUGCAUUAAAUCCUUUGGUAUAUUAGGCUAUCAUUAAUUUGCAUAAGAUUUUUAUGUGAUGAGUGCAUAUGAAAUUUGAGUUGUUUUUACUUGACAUUGGACAUGCAAGAGUAGGACACUACUUUGGGAUUCAGUUGAAUUCUUUUCAAAUAAAUGAGUCUUAACUUGGGUAAGGAAGCUAAUUCUAUUCUUUCAUAUGUUAGACUUGGAAAGUGGUGUUGUGUGUUUUUAAAAAUUUGUACUUUAGGAUACUAUUUUUCCAUUAGUCUAAAAGCUCCUUGAGAUGUCAAUGCAGGAAAUCUUACUUAAUCUGACUUUAAAAGAUAGAGGCCCAUUUCCUUAAAGUUUUGUGGAUGGGUUAAUCUUCACUUCACCACUGCCAUCUCUAAUUGCUUUUAUAGUCCUACUCUUUGUUAUUUUUCUCUCUAUGUUGGUUUCUCAGAAAUUCCUGAGGAUGAGCAUGGUUAUGAGCCAUGCAAUGAAUGUGCAUAUGUAUGUAUUUUUAGUACAGACACUGUAUGUGAAAGUACUGAAUCUAUUAUGUGUGUAUGGGAGGUCUGCUGCAAAUGUAAUGUUCUUGUAUACCAAUAUCCUGCCUAUUGCUGCUUGGAUCUUAGGAGAGUUUGAGAGUGGGCUGUUCUGUGACAGAAAGAGUCUACUUCUGGUUGCCGUCUUUUUGCAGAGGUUUCUCAGACUUGGGCAGGGAAUGAGCAGUGGCUUUUUGUCAUGUGUCUGGGCGUGAGACAGUCACCCCCCUUUCUGAAGCUGGCAGCUGAGAAUGGUCAGUCGGUCAGCUGAUCUUUCCAUCUCUGUCUUAUUCCUGAGGAGCCUUGCGGAAAAGGUCCAUUGUUAUGAGACUGCAAUUGGUCCCUAGGUUACAAGCUGAAUACUCUUGAAUUACAUCAGGUCUGGUUAAAAAAGAUAAGCUCAUUCAAAAGUUUACAUUUUUUCUUAUCUACAUCGGCAUUUUGAUCUGUGUCGUGAAAUGAUGAGAUUGAAGUUUCUUUGGGUAUUCCAAUGUGAUCUUUUUGGUCGUAUACUAAAUGUACAGUACAAUGAUUGAAUUCAUCUAUAGCUUUUUUGUAAUUUUACUUAAGAGCAAUGCUUACCUAAAAUAAAUGCUGAACCAGUAAAUUGUGAAGUUCAAUAGCUUUUUCUCUGACUACUGCUAGUAAAACCAGCCUAUAUGGUAAGGCAAAAACAUUUGAAAUAUAAACUGGCAAAUCUUGUUUAAUGACUUAGAGACGAAAGCCUCCACUUUUCUAUCUGUCCAUGCCUUCAGUUUGUGAUAUCUUAAGAUAAAACACUUAAGGAGUGAACAUUGAACAGUAGAAGUCUGAAUAUGGUAACAAGUAAGUUUUUGAGGAGAAAUUGAAAUACAAUUACACAGCUGCAUAUAUUUCAGACAUUCUAGAUUAUCGAGUGUAUUAGAGUUAUGUAAACUGCCAUGCAAAACUUUCGAAAACAAUACAUAAGUGAAAUAACUGCCAGGAGGAUUAAAUACGUUUUAGAGUUACUUACAUAAAAGUCCAAUUUCUAAAAUAAACUAUAUUCUGUUUUGGUUGUGUGGCAAGUUAUAUAAGCAUUCACUGUUUCUUGUAAAAGUUCAUAACUGAAUGUGUGCAGCAGUAUUCCUACUUCACAAGUAGGUAAAAAUAGAUAUCCACAAGUAGAUAAAAAUGGAUAUCCUGUUUGAAUUUACCUAAUCAUUUCUGAAUUUCUAAUCAUGUGUUCAAUGGGCAAAGUUACUAUCUUUCUCUUCUUAUUGUGCAUGGUGGAUAAACUGAGCAAGUACAACCAAAAGCAGCUUGAUUAUAGAAUUGAGACUGAGCUUCAUAUUUGGAAUUAAAUGACACAAGUCUCCUUUUGAUAGAAUCUGGGAUGUCACUGAAUCUCUGACGAACAGAGAUGUCCUCUUUAAUUUGAGAACCUCUUGCCUCUAGGUUAUAAACUCAGUAGAAGCACACUAAUGAAAUUCCAUUAUAGUAUAUUAUCUCUCUGUUUAGCUAAUAUGUCAUUAGAAUGGGUGCUGCAAAGGAAAUGUAUUUAUUUUCUGUGCUUGGUGCACAGGGUCUGCUGUACUUUGAGCUGGGUUAUGGUUGCAUCUGUUCUUGGGGAGGCGGUGUGUGUGUGUGUGUACACACAUACACACCUAUAAAAAUCACAUAUAUAAAUGUGUUAUCUCUGUGUGCAUAUCUUACAUAUACAUACAAUAUUUUAGCUUUAAAAACAACAGGGUGUUUUUUGUUUCUUAUGUAUGUGUGUAUAUAUGUAUAUAAACAUAUAUGUAUUUGUACCUUGUAUUUGUUCAAAAGGGGAAAAUCUGUUCAUUUAAUAUGUCUUCCUCAACCUUUGUGCUUUUUCUGAAGGAAGAAAUACCCUUGUUACCUCUAGGUUAGAUGCAGUUCUAGGUUAGAUAAUAGCAAGACUGUCAGGGCUCUUCAGUUAACAGUUGUGAUGCUGUGUGUGUACUCGGAUCACGUACUGGUUAUACAGCUGUAGUGCUGCAUACUGCUCACACUUUCUUUCUGAACAUAGGCAUGCUUAUGCACACAACAUACGCCUUUGGGGUUGUGGCCAGUAAUUUUCCUAUCCUUUAAGUUUAGCCAAAACUUCUUAAAAUGUCUUGCGAUGUUAGCAGAACCUCUGCAACACUUGUGCCAUGUUUACAAAGUUAUUUUUAUUGGCAUAUAAAAUGAAAACUCUUUCUUGCAUCCUCUUCUGACAGGUGCAGCACAUGUCACUUGGAUCCUGUGUCCAUAUUACUGGUAGAGCCAGGCCUGGUUUAAACAUAAUGGAAGGACAUUAGGAUGACAGGAAUUCAGAAAGACAGUGAAAAUUAAAGCUUUGAGUUUCUGAUAGGCAUCUUCUAAAUAUUGCAGAAGUAGUAUAAGAUGUUACCAAUUCUUGAGAUGUUACCAACCAGAGAUUAUUAUUUCCCUGGCAGAGUAGAAGAACACCGGCCAGUCCAUAGCAACUGUAGAGCCACCUUCACUGGUGAAUUAAAAUACUAUACUCACAUUUGUACUGGGGUGGCUGAAAGAUGAGCAGUUCUUCUCUGCUGGUGGCAGGAGACCAUGUCAGAUAGCUAGGAACAGUAUCUGAAGCUACUGAAGCACAGUUCAUUAGAGGGCCUCUGGCAGUGCCCUCAGAGUCCUAUUCUCUUAAAGUUGCUAUUUUUCUUAUUUCAGUCAACAAAAACACAGGCGAAGUGUUAUCUUUAUUUUUUAAAAAACUUCUUCUAUUUUACUAUGGAUUAAUUCGACAUGUAGUUUAGUUUUUAUCAUUACCAAUAUAGUAUAGUAUAUCAAGGAACAGUCAGUGUUGAACGUUCACUUGGUUUACAAUAGAGAGGGUUUAUUAUAGUUGUUUAUAAUCCAGAUACUAUUUUUUGUCUUAGAAUUGUUAGGAUCCUUUGUAUAGCUGUUAUAUGAAUUUCUUUAAUGAAAGAGCAACAGAUUGAUGCAAAACUUGUAUUCUCUUAUUUUACCAGUACACUGAAAUUGUAGAAGGCUUUGUAUGGGAUUGUGUGUGCACGUGGGGCGCCUUUUUUGUGGUUGUUGGUUGUUUUUUAAACCAGGUUGGUGAUAGUAUUGCAUUACUGCAGAAUAAAACUUUGGCUUAUACCUUUAUUGGGGAUUGUCUUGCAGUCUUAAUAUCAUAUCAGUUGUUCUUUCCCUUAUGGUCCAAUGUCUUAGUUUCAUGCUGCUUCUGCUAUUAUGUAAAGAGUGUCUCUUAUAAAGAGAAUCUGUUGAGCAAUACAAGAUUAAAAUCAUAUGUUUUGGGGUUUUAUUUAUUUAUUUUUUAAUGUAGAAGGGGUUAUUAGUGUUUUUAGCUGUAACUUAACAGUGGUUGGCUAUAAAAAUCUGGUAUUUGGAAAAACCAUUCAGAGUAGCUUGUUUAAGUGUGUGUAUACACAUGCAUUUAUUUGUAUAGGCUUGUUCUAGGAAUAACUUAGAAUACUUAUGUGAAGAGCAUAUUUAGAUUUAUGCUUUCAAAUGAACAGGUUUGGAUAGUACAGUUCAUCUUAUGUCAUUAAUCUUCAAACUAUGCUAUGAUUUUGGGAGCACUAAACAUAUGAAAUUCACUGUUGGUUUUCCAUGUUGUGCAUCUUUUAUUUGCUGUCAUAUUGGCAACUUUGAGUUCCUUUUUUUUUAAUGGCCAAUAUUGUUUUAAAUAUAUUUUGUUUCUCGCUUGUCUUUUUCUGAAUUUAUGUAUUUUUUGAUUCCAUGACAUCCUCAUGAUGCAAUAAUACAAUUGUGUUCAAGUAAAAAAACUCGUGGGUGGGAUAGUGAAAUUUAAAUAGUGUUCUUAAUUGUAAUAAAUAAAUAAAUAAAUAAAUUCUCUCCAUAUUAAUUUUGGUAGAAAGAAUUUGGCAAAACUAAUGGCUAGGUAAAUCUUUUUUUAGUGUUUUGAUAAGCUGCUACUUCUGCACAAGCUAAUAUAUAUGACUGAAGACAUGAGCUUGCAUGGCUUUAUUGUUUGUUUGUUGACUAAAUUCAAAUACCUUUUCAACUUUUCUAUUACUUUAUCCAAUAAAGUGUGGUAGGAUGAAGUAGAAAUGUUUUAUGGGUUCCCAGCACUCAUUUUAUGAAUUAAUUAAAGCAUUUGUUUCCUUGUAGGUAAACAGAAGGUAAGCGUGUAUUUAAACUUGAGCACAUGCUUAACUGCUUUGCUGUUUUUGGUCUUUGUUUGCUUAUUAUAUUUAGACAAUAUCUUAAUACAUUAUUUUUUUUAAAUGCUAUUAUUGUACUGUGUAUUCACAAGAACUCACUUUUUCCUUUCCAAAAGGAUGCUAUCCAAAACACAGCUGCAGAAAAAUAAGGAGGAAAAAAGACUAUCUGGGAGACCCACAGGUUGAGAACUCCUAAGAUACUUGCAUCAGUGUUCUUUUCUGGCUAUAUGUUAGGACGGAUAAAGUGUUUAACAUAUGGUAGUUCAGUAAAAAGUACCUUUAGUAUUUUUUUUCCAUUUAAGUUCCUUAUUUAGUGUCUGCAAACCAAAGCAGCAAAGCCUUGAUUCAUCAUUUGAAGAUUAAUUGAAAGUUAAUGCUGUAAUAAUUUUGUUCCUGCCCAUACUUUUAAAUCAUUCGCCUAAUUAAAACAGUGCUGUACUUGGACAAUGGAUUUAUAUUAGUAUCUUCUUAUAAUCAGUUUUGAUUAAGCAUAAAGCAUAAGGAAUAAAUAUAUAUUGUCUACUACCUAUAUUUUUUUCCGUCUUAAAAAAUGUUACUAUAUAGCUCUAACCACAAGUUUUAGUCUAAUUGGAAAUACCCUUUGGAUUCUUUAAGAAAAUCUGGGAUCCUGCUUUACCGUUGAUACUAGGUAACUUCAAAGAAGAAAGCAGUUCGAUAGAUUACGGUUUUACAGAGGAAUUAUUUUUAUUAUCUGAAUGAUGGAUGACAUGAUGACAUGUUUAUCUAAAAAGCAAUGGGAGAUCUUUUUUUUAAAAAAAAAAAAAAAGAAAU